rnacentral:rRNA from 1 species
UUCAUGACUGGGGUGAAGUCGUAACAAGGUAGCCCUAGGGGAACCUGGGGCUGGAUCACCUCCUUACAAAAAAGA